rnacentral:rRNA from 1 species
GACGAACGCUGGCGGCGUGCUUAACACAUGCAAGUCGAGCGGUAAGGCCCCUUCGGGGGUACACGAGCGGCGAACGGGUGAGUAACACGUGAGCAAUCUGCCCUUCACACGGGGAUAAUCACCGGAAACGGUGGCUAAUACCCGAUACGACCACUUCAGGCAUCUGAUGGUGGUGGAAAGUUCCGGCGGUGAAGGAUGAGCUCGCGGCCUAUCAGCUUGUUGGUGGGGUAAUGGCCUACCAAGGCAACGACGGGUAGCCGGCCUGAGAGGGUGACCGGCCACACUGGGACUGAGACACGGCCCAGACUCCUACGGGAGGCAGCAGUGGGGAAUAUUGGACAAUGGGCGAAAGCCUGAUCCAGCAACGCCGCGUGAGGGAUGACGGCCUUCGGGUUGUAAACCUCUUUCAGCAGGGACGAAGCGCAAGUGACGGUACCUGCAGAAGAAGCACCGGCCAACUACGUGCCAGCCGCCGCCGUAACAC